AAUGAACGUUGGCGGCGUGGAUUAGGCAUGCAAGUCGAGCGAGAAGUCUCCCUUCGGGGAGGCGGACAGCGGCAAACGGGGUAGUAAGGCGUAGGUGACGUACCCUAAGGUCUGGGAUAGCCGCGGGAAACUGCGAUUAAUACCGGAUAACCUCACAGUUCAUGAUCGGACAGUGAGCAAAGGUGUGAUUCCGCCAUAGGAGCGGCCUGCGUGGUAUUAGGUAGUUGGUGAGGUAACGGCUCACCAAGCCUGAGAUGCCUAGGGGGUGUGAGAGCACGACCCCCACCACUGGGACUGAGACACUGCCCAGACACCUACGGGUGGCAG
rnacentral:rRNA from 1 species